GUGAGGAAUAUUGCGCAAUGGAGGCAACUCUGACGCAGCCAUGCCGCGUGCAGGAAGAAGGCGCUACGCGUUGUAAACUGCUUUUAACCGGGAAGAAACCCCAGGACGUGUCCUGGGUUGACGGUACCGGAGGAAUAAGCACCGGCUAACUUCGUGCCAGCAGCCGCGGUAAUACGAAGGGUGCAAGCGUUAUCCGGAUUCAUUGGGUUUAAAGGGUGCGUAGGCGGAGCGUUAAGUCAGUGGUGAAAUCCUGCAGCUUAACUGUAGACUUGCCAUUGAUACUGGCGCUCUUGAGUGCGCUGGAAGUGGGCGGAAUGUGCCGUGUAGCGGUGAAAUGCUUAGAUAUGGCACAGAACACCAAUUGCGAAGGCAGCUCACUAAGGCGAUACUGACGCUGAGGCACGAAAGCGUGGGGAUCGAACAGGAUUAGAAACCCGAGUAGUCC
rnacentral:rRNA from 1 species